CCUACGGGUGGCAGCAGUGGGGGAUAUUGCACAAUGGGGGAAACCCUGAUGCAGCGACGCCGCGUGAGCGAAGAAGUAUUUCGGUAUGUAAAGCCCUAUCAGCAGGGAAGAAGAAAUGACGGUACCUGGGUAAGAAACACCGGCUAAAUAAGUGCCAGCAGCCGCGGUAAUACGUAUGGGGCAAGCGUUAUCCGGAUUUACUGGGGGUAAAGGGAGCGCAGACGGCACGGCAAGCCUGAUGUGAAAGGCCGGGGCCCAACCGCGGGACUGCAUUGGGAACUAUCGGGCUGGAGUGCCGGAGAGGUAGGCGGAAUUCCUAGUGUAGCGGUGAAAUGCGUAGAUAUUAGGAGGAACACCAGUGGCGAAGGCGGCCUACUGGACUGUGACUGACGUUGAGGCUCGAAAGCGUGGGGAGCAAACAGGAUUAGAUACCCCAGUAGUC
rnacentral:rRNA from 1 species